AAAACCUUAAAUAAUGAAAGCCCUACCUCUCUCUCAUCCUUGCGGCUCCUUGACCGCGCCAGUGAAAAUAAGGUGCUGUGCGUUCAA
rnacentral:sRNA from 1 species